rnacentral:rRNA from 1 species
UACGUAGGUGGCAAGCGUUGUCCGGAUUUACUGGGCGUAAAGAGCGCGCAGGCGGCCUGAUCAGUCGAAUGUGAAAGCCCCCGGCUUAACUGGGGAGGGUCAUUCGAUACUGUCAGGCUCGAAGGCAGGAGAGGGAAGCGGAAUUCCCGGUGUAGUGGUGAAAUGCGUAGAGAUGUGGAGGAACACCUGUGGCGAAGGCGCCUUGCUGGCCGAUUUCUGACGCUGAGGCGCGAAAGCGUGGGGAGCAAACAGG